rnacentral:rRNA from 1 species
AUGGCAAUUUCAACUCAGUUUCGUACCUUCAUGAAGACUACUGCUAAAAAGGUUUCCAACUCAGAUCUAGUUGCAUACUUAGAUGAGGCUGCACUUACUGAUCAUUCAGAAGACUUUGAUGUGCUACUUUGGUGGAAGCAAAAUUCAUCAAGGUAUCCAAUACUAUCCAAGGUUGCGAAGGAUAUUCUUACUGUGCCAGUUAGUACUGUUUCUUCGGAAUCAUCAUUUAGUACUGGACGCAGAGUGCUUGAUAAGUAUAGAAGCUCUUUACUCCCAAAUACUGUUGAGGCUUUGGUGUGUUCAGCUAGUUGGAUUAGAGGCUCCCAAAAGAAAAAGAAAGCUAACAAGGAUAAAGAAGACGAGGAUGACUUACUUGAAGUUCCUUUUCUGGAUAAAGAACCUUCGAUCGUUUCUACAGACUAG